CUGCUUUGGUAGCACAGGUAUUAAAAUUGGAACAAUUCAGAGAAGGUUAGCAUGGCUCCAAUGUAAGGAUGACAUAGGCAUUCAUGGGAUAUUCCAAAAUUGU
rnacentral:snRNA from 1 species